AUACAGAGGGUGCAAACGUUGUUCGGAAUCACUGGGCAUAAAGCGUACGUAGGCGGUUUGUUAAGUGUGAAGUGAAAGCCCACGGCUCACCCGUGGAACUGCUUUGCAUACUGGCAAACUCGAGGACGGUAGGGGAGAGCGGAACUCUUGGUGGAGCGGUGAAAUGCGUAGAUAUCAAGGGGAACACCGAUGGCGAAGGCAGCUCUCCGGUCCGUUUCUGACGCUGAGGUACGAAAGCUAGGGUAGCGAACGGGAUUAGAAACCCUAGUAGUCC
rnacentral:rRNA from 1 species